rnacentral:rRNA from 1 species
UACAGAGGGUGCAAGCGUUAAUCGGAUUUACUGGGCGUAAAGCGUGCGUAGGCGGUUCGCUAAGUCGGUUGUGGAAUCCCUGGGCUUAACCUGGGAACUGCAGUCGAUACUGGCGGACUAGAGUACGGUAGAGGGUGGCGGAACUCCGGGUGUAGCGGUGAAAUGCGUAGAUAUCGUCAAGAACACCGAUAGUGAAGACAGUUUACUAGGCUUCUACUGACGCUGAGGCACGAAAGUGUGGGGAUCAAACAGG